GAUGAAGAACGUAGCGAAAUACGAUAAGUAAUGUGAAUUGCAGAAUUCAGUGAAUCAUCGAAUCUUUGAACGCACAUUGCGCCCGCCAGCAUUCUGGCGGGCAUGCCUGUUCGAGCGUCAUUUCAACCCUCAAGCUCUGCUUGGUGUUGGGGCCCUACGGUUGACGUAGGCCCUUAAAGGUAGUGGCGGACCCUCUCGGAGCCUCCUUUGCGUAGUAACUAACGUCUCGCAUUGGGAUUCGGAGGGACUCUUGCCGUAAAACCCCCAAAUUUUCUAAUGGUUGACCUCGGAUCAGGUAGGAAUACCCGCUGAACUUAAGCAUAUCAAUAAGCGGAGGA
rnacentral:misc_RNA from 1 species